GAUGAACGCUGGCGGCGUGCCUAAUACAUGCAAGUCGAGCGAACGGACGAGAAGCUUGCUUCUCUGAUGUUAGCGGCGGACGGGUGAGUAACACGUGGAGAACCUACCUAUAAGACUGGGAUAACUUCGGGAAACCGGAGCUAAUACCGGAUAAUAUUUUGAACCGCAUGGUUCAAAAGUAAAAGACGGUCUUGCUGUCACUUAUAGAUGGAUCCGCGCUGCAUUAGCUAGUUGGUAAGGUAACGGCUUACCAAGGCAACGAUGCAUAGCCGACCUUAGAGAUUGAUCGGCCACGCUAGAAGUGAGACACGGUCCAGACUCCUACGAGAGGCAGCAGUAUGGAAUCUUCCGCAAUGUGCGGAAACCUGACGGAGCAACGCCGCGUGAGUGAUGAAGGUCUUCGGAUCGUAAUACUCUGUUAUUAGGGAAGAACAUAUGUGUAAGUAACUGUACACAUCUUGACGGUACCUAAUCAGAAAGCCACGGCUAACUACGUG
rnacentral:rRNA from 1 species